AUAGUUAGAUUCUAAGGCCAAGACUGUAUGACGCUCUUUCAUAAAAAGCUCUUUGUGUUUCAACACGUAGCUGUUUUGCUAAGCUGAUUGUAAAUGAUUGAAUUCAUUUCACAAAAGAGGCACCAGCACGACUGAACCUCACGGCAAUAUAUUCAUAAUCUCCAACAUAACAUGUAGGGUGUAUUCUUUCACUUUCUUGUCAGUAUAAGUCUUUUUCUUUUUGAUAUUAUAAUUAUAUGAAUACGGUUUAAAAGUCAUUUGUCCAAUAUUUCGUGAUACGAAAUAUAGCUAUUCGAACUUUUUACACAACUGAAAAAUAUUGUACAAUAUAUGUAUUUUCUCGUCUUCA